ACCGUGUGUCAGUUUUGAAAUGGGUUAAAGCCAUUUUAAUGGGUUUCGCCUACCGUGUGUCAGUUUGAAACUGACACACGGU
rnacentral:pre_miRNA from 1 species